rnacentral:lncRNA from 1 species
GUGUGAGUGAGGUAUCCAUGUACUUAUUGACACAUUCUUGUUAGAUUUGUAUUGUUUAAUUACUGGUGUAUUAUAUCAUUUAACCCAUCAUUGAUUUUUUUCUUCUAUUUUUAUAUGGUUAUUUUUGUGACCUGCAUGUAUAUGAGAACACACACAAUCAUGCACAUAAAAAAAACCUCAUAUACAUUUUUGAAAGUCAUUUGAUAUAUAUGAAUUAUUUCAAUUGAGUAUUUUAUUU